rnacentral:RNase_P_RNA from 1 species
UCAGAUGGCCGGAUGGCCGCUGCAUGAAAAUGCAGAGGAAAGUCCGGGCUCCACGGAGACACGGUGCCGGCUAACGGCCGGCGGGGGCGACCCCAGGGAAAGUGCCACAGAAAGCAAACCGCCCGGACCUUCGGGGACGGGUAAGGGUGAAAGGGUGCGGUAAGAGCGCACCGCGCGGCCGGUAACGGGCGCGGCACGGCAAACCCCACCGGGAGCAAGACCAAAUAGGGGCGGCAUUUCAGGCGUUUAGCCUGGAAAACCCGUUUCCGGGCCGCCGCCCGGGUUGGUUGCUAGAGGCGUCCGGCAACGGACGUCCCAGAUGAAUGGUCAUCGCCCGCAAGGGUACAGAACCCGGCUUACAGGCCAUCUGACACU